rnacentral:rRNA from 1 species
AUGGCGGACACUGCCACGUCAACUGGCGACGUGUGUGCCGUCCGCUCGAGUACGGCGGGCUCGGGGUCCAGGACCUGGAGCAUGCUGGCCUCGCGCUGCGCCUGCGCUGGAUGUGGUUCUCCCACACGGACGACGGCCGCGCGAACACGGACGACGGCCGCGCAUGGCGAGGCCUCGACCUCCAGUUUUCCCGCGAGGAGCGCGCGUUGUUCUUCGCAUCGACGACCAUGGAGCUUGGCGAUGGACUGA